rnacentral:tRNA from 1 species
AUUUAGGUAGCUUAAGAAUAAAGCAUGUCUCUGAAGAAGAUAAAAUGGGUUUCCCCUAAAUA